UCUAUCUGCUGGAACUGAUCCGCGGAUCAAUCCCAGCGGAUAGAUCCGGUCGUGUGUACGGGGCCUAACAGUUUGCGCCAUCCCAAUAUAAUGGGAGGCAGUACAAUUUAGUACAGGUCAAUACAGAAGGAAUAGGCCCUGCUCCUGGAGCUUACAAUCUUGGAUGGGGUGACAAAGGGUAAUGCCUGCAGGGGAUAAUCUGAUGAAGUACAGUUUUUAGUUGGAGGAGGGAUAGACUUCCCUGAACAAUCGAGUUUUCAAAGAUCGCCUAAAGGUGGACAGGUAAGGAGCUAACCAGAUAUACUGGGAUAUGGAGUUCCAGAUUAUGUGAGAGCUUCUGGAGAAGUCCUAAAGGCAAGUAUGGGAGGAGGUGACAAGUAAGCUAGAGAGAAAGUGUUAAGGGGACUUUGUUUGCCUUGUACAUCUGAAAGCUAAAUAAAACUUAGUUGGAUAUUAAAAAAAAAAAAGCUAGAGAGAAAGAUGUGUUGGGAGGAGUGGAGAAUACGAUUUAGGAAAUAUCUUGAGAUGACGGUGAUGUAGCUGGGGGCAGUUAUGGCUUUGUAUAUUGUGGUUAGUAUUUAGGAUUUUGUAUACUGGGUUAGUGCAAACCAGUGAAGGGAUUGGAAGAGUGGGGCAGGAGCCACAGAUCGGAAUGUCAGGUGUACAAGUCUAGCAGCAGCAUUCAUAAUAGACUGAAGGGGAGAUGGCCUAUGUCAAGGUAGGCCAGCAUAAAGGGAGUUGCAGUAGCCAAGGCGGGAGAUGGCCAAGGAGUGAAGAAAUUGUUUUGUGAGUUAAGGGGGGAUUUCUGGAAACGUUAGAGAGGUUAAGGUGGUAAGAUUUAGUCAGUGAUUGAAUGUAGAGCUCGUAGGAGAAGUUAAAGUCUAGGAUUACACCCAGCACCCUGGCAUGUGAGAAGGGAUCAAUAAUUUUGCAAUUGAUCUCAAUGGAAGAAGCUUCGGGUUUAGACAGAUUGCGUUUUAGCAGUGUUAUCUAUCUGUUCAAUAGUUCUCAAUAAUUCAGGUUGAGAACCACUGGUGUAAGAGGCCAAUGAGGUCAAUCCUGUGUUCACUCUGCUCUCGUCUACUGUCAGAUUGCUCUUUUUCUGCAUACUUGCAGGCAGCACAGGUUUGUUCCCAGUGUUGUUCCUCCUCCUUCAAGUCUAAGUGCUGAAUUAGGUACUAGUUGCAUUUAAAAAAAAUACAUUUGAUGUAUUUGAUGCAACUAAACCCCUGUAUUUAACUGUCGUUCAUAUUCUGCUUUAAGUUGAAAUGUCAUUGUGACAAGUGUGUUUUUUGCAGCACUUUGUGGGGAACUUUCAUAGUUGGAGACACAUUAGUGAGUGAUUUAGCCUUCCAGCAUCUGCCUAUAAAUAUCAUUUUGGGUGGACUGACCAUUAAACGUGUGCCCAUCGUCUGUAUUUGGCAGAGGUGACCAUUUAAUAUGCUGACGUGGUGUUCAGGAAUUUGCACCCUGUCUGUCACUGAGAUCUGUGAUAGUCUAAAGCAGGGGUCUCCAAACUGCGGCCCUGGGGCCAGAUGCGGCCCUUUGCUUGCCUGUAUCUGGCCCUUGAGGCUCUUUUCACUGACACCAACAAUGGGGAAUAAAUCCUCCGACUGUCACCAACAAUCGGGCCCAUAAAUCCUCCCACUGUUACCAUGGGGUCAUAAAUCCUCCCACUGUCACCAACAAUGGGGUCAUAAAUCCUCCCACUGUCACCAACAAUGGGGCC